rnacentral:snoRNA from 1 species
AGAACGUGAUGCGGGCAUUUCCUUAGUAGCUCCUUGAACCUUUCCCAUGUCUCGUACAAGGAUUCCUCGUCUUUUUGACAGUAGGUGUUGAUCUCGCUCAUGACUUU